rnacentral:rRNA from 1 species
UUAAAAAGAUAGUUGUUUAUUCAAUUUAAUUUGAAAUAAAUUAUUUAUUUUUUAUAUUAUUUUAAUAUUUUUUAAAAGAAAUAAAUUUUUAUUAAUUAUUGUAAAGAAAGAUUUAAUUUAAUGAUAGAGUAUAGUAUUGUGAAAGAAAUAUUUAAUAGUAUAAAAGAAGAUUUUAAUUUUCGUACCUUGUGUAUCAGGGUUUAUUUAAAAUAGUUUAAUAUAAAAUAUUCUCGAAUUUAAAAGAGCUAAAAGUUUAUAAUUUUUAUUAUAGAAUAAAUAUAUUUAAUAAAUUUUUAGUAAUGAAAUGUUAUUCGUUUUUAAAUAUAUCUAGUUUUUUAAGAAAUAAAUUUAAUUUAUUUAUUAAUAAUAUUAAAUUAAUUAAUUAAUUUAAUAUUAAUAAUAUUAAAUAUUUUUAGGGAUGAGCUUAAAAAUAAAUUUUUAUUAGUAAUUUAAUAGUUUAAAUAUUUUAGGAUUAUAAAUUUCCAUAAUUAAAGUAUGUUAUAAUUUAUUUUUAUUGUAUUAUAAUUUUUAUUUUCUAUAAUUUUUUUAUUAAAAUAUAUUUUUAAAUCGUUAAAAAUUAGUAAUAAUGAUAAAAUUAGUAUAAUUUUAUAUAAAAAUUUUAAAAUUUUUUAGGUUUAUAAAAGGAACUCGGCAAAUUAUUUUUCACCUGUUUAUUAAAAACAUGUCCUUUUGUAAAAAAUUUAAGGUCUAGCCUGCCCAAUGAAUUUUUUAAUGGCCGCAGUAUUUUGACUGUGCUAAGGUAGCAUAAUCAUUAGUUUUUUAAUUGAAAGCUGGAAUGAAGGGUUGAAUGAAAAAAUAACUGUCUCUUAUAAAUUUUAUUAGAAUUUUAUUUUUAAGUUAAAAAGCUUAAAUAAUUUUAAAAGACGAGAAGACCCUAUAGAGUUUUAUAUAAAAUUUUGUAUUAAAAAUGUAGAAUUUAAAUUAUAAUAUAGAUUUGAUAUUUAAUUGGGGUGAUUGAAAAAUUUAAUAAACUUUUUUUUAUUGAUAAUAUUAAUUAAUAAGUUAUUGAUCCAAUAUUUUUUGAUUAUAAGAAUAAAUUACCUUAGGGAUAACAGCGUAAUUUUAUUAGAGAGUUCUUAUCGAUAAUAAAGAUUGCGACCUCGAUGUUGGAUUAAAAUUUAUUUUUGGUGUAGAAGCUAAAAAAUUUAAGUCUGUUCGACUUUUAAAAUUUUACAUGAUCUGAGUUUAAACCGGUGUAAGCCAGGUUGGUUUCUAUCUUUAAACAAUUAAUUUAUUUUAGUACGAAAGGACCAAGUAAA